UACGUAGGAUGCAAGCGUUUUCCGGAUUUAUUGGGUUUAAAGGGUGCGUAGGCGGCCUAUUAAGUUAGUGGUGAAAACGUUCGGCUUAACCGUAUACCCGCCAUUGAUACUGAUAGACUUGAGUGCGACAGAGGGUGUUGGAAUGUGUGGUGUAGCGGUGAAAUGCUUAGAUAUCACGCAGAACACCAAUUGCGAAGGCAGAUGCCUAUGUCGUAACUGACGCUGAGGCACGAAAGCGUGGGGAGAAAACAGG
rnacentral:rRNA from 1 species